ensembl:snoRNA SNORD93 small nucleolar RNA, C/D box 93
UGGCCAAGGAUGAAAAAUAUGAACUGAUUGCAGAUACUUCUGUAGAGUGUUAUGCACAAAUCUGAUGUUUUAAAGGAUUUUCUGAGGCCA